rnacentral:lncRNA from 1 species
UUUGUUUUAUGUGAAGGACACAAUUAGUUGUAGAGUAAAAGUUCGGGUUCCUAUUUUGGUCAGUUCAAAAUUUUUUUUUUGUUAAUUUGGUCACCACCAUUAAAGAAAAUAACCAAAUUUGUUAUUCCAUCGUUAAAUUUAACGAAAUGCUCUCAAUUCAUUUUUUAUUUCUUUAUUAUUUAAUUUUGCUUUUUUCUUUCUUUCUUUUUCUUUUCAUCUUCUCCCUUUCACCUGGAAAUCCUAGACGACGCCUCCUUUAAAGAUAUUGCCACUUCCUUGAUUGAAUCAUUGUCGACGUGCAUUGUCACUCAAAAAGUUAAGUUUAUUGUUGAUAGGGGUUGAAUCAUUCGAAAGAAAACUUUAAAAUAAUCUUUGUC